rnacentral:rRNA from 1 species
UACGUAGGGUGCAAGCGUUAAUCGGAAUUACUGGGCGUAAAGCGUGCGCAGGCGGUUCCAUAAGACAGAUGUGAAAUCCCCGGGCUCAACCUGGGAACUGCAUUUGUGACUGUGGGGCUAGAGUACGGUAGAGGGGGAUGGAAUUCCGCGUGUAGCAGUGAAAUGCGUAGAUAUGCGGAGGAACACCAAUGGCGAAGGCAAUCCCCGGGACCUGUAAUGACGAUCAUGCACGAAAGCGUGGGGAGCAAACAGG